CGGUGAGUGUGUCAUUCUUCCACCAAGCGUUCAUGCUGUGCCAGCAAGGGCCGGUCUCGACCAAUAUCAACCUAAAACCAGAUUGCUCAUUUCAGAGACCGUUUUGUCUGCUUAACAAUAUCAAGCAGAGAAGAAGAGGGUUCAUAUUUCCUCUGAAGAAGCAGGAAGACUCAUGCUGUUUUAGCCAAAAAAGCGGCAAUGGCGGAUAAGAACAAAUUUUCCGUUUUAUUCAAAUGUACAAUAAGUGAACUUCAACAGAGCACAGUGGAGCCACGACCAAAAAUGAGAGAAAGAAAGAUCGAUAAAGCUGUACCAUAAGUAUGAUAUCACUCAGCAAAGCCUGUCCCAGUGUGUGUGAGGCAAGCCUGAAAAACUGUACGAAGUAAAUCUUUAUGUUCAUCGGCUUAUUGUUAAACAACGAGUAAGACUACAAUGGGCAACCACCGGAGGGGAAUUCAAAAAUGCUGUGACACUUUGUUGGCAGUUAACAAGGCGUUAAACUCAAACAGCAGGUGAAGGUUCACAAGCUAGAAUCCUUGUUUGACAUAUGAUGCGUUCAUCAAAAGAAAAACCUCAACGUUAUUUCACAACUGGAAUUGACAGAGCAAGAUAUCAUGUCCAUGCAGUGCUAAGGAGAGGACUUCAGUUCACAUUUCAGAGUUAACGUAACGAUACCUGCAUCUCAGAGCAAUUUCGAUUGUGUGUUGGAAGUAAUUAUGAAUUGUUUUGGUUUACCACACUACGCUCUAUGAUUGGGCUAAAAACCUCGCGCCAAAUUUCCAACCAAUCGGAUGAAAAACUAAAACCAAUCCCGACUUGGUCAUUAGCGUUUUUCGCGUUUAAAGCAGUUUCCAUGGUUUUGGUUUGGGUUACUAUUGGCUAAUUGGGAUAUUAUCCUUUUAGUUCUGACUUAUCGAUGUGAUUUCUCUGGUCCUGGUCUCACGACAUUCAAUCGAAAAGCUCUUUAC